rnacentral:rRNA from 1 species
CCUACGGGGGGCAGCAGUGGGGAAUCUUGCACAAUGGGCGAAAGCCUGAUGCAGCGACGCCGCGUGGGGGACGAAUGCCUUCGGGUUGUAAACCCCUUUCGGCAGGGAAGCGGUACCUGCAGAAGAAGUCCCGGCUAACUACGUGCCAGCAGCCGCGGUAAGACGUAGGGGACGAGCGUUGUCCGGAUUCAUUGGGCGUAAAGAGCGCGUAGGCGGUUUGGUAAGUCGGAUGUGAAAACCAGAGGCUCAACCUCUGGCCUGCAUCCGAUACUGCCCGACUAGAGGUAGGUAGGGGAGAUCGGAAUUCCUGGUGUAGCGGUGAAAUGCGCAGAUAUCAGGAGGAACACCGGUGGCGAAGGCGGAUCUCUGGGCCUUCCUGACGCUGAGGCGCGAAAGCUAGGGGAGCAAACAGGAUUAGAUACCCUUGUAGUC